rnacentral:rRNA from 1 species
ACUCCUACGGGAGGCAGCAGUAGGGAAUCUUCCACAAUGGGCGCAAGCCUGAUGGAGCAACACCGCGUGAGUGAAGAAGGGUUUCGGCUCGUAAAGCUCUGUUGUUAAAGAAGAACACGUAUGAGAGUAACUGUUCAUACGUUGACGGUAUUUAACCAGAAAGUCACGGCUAACUACGUGCCAGCAGCCGCGGUAAUACGUAGGUGGCAAGCGUUAUCCGGAUUUAUUGGGCGUAAAGAGAGUGCAGGCGGUUUUCUAAGUCUGAUGUGAAAGCCUUCGGCUUAACCGGAGAAGUGCAUCGGAAACUGGAUAACUUGAGUGCAGAAGAGGGUAGUGGAACUCCAUGUGUAGCGGUGGAAUGCGUAGAUAUAUGGAAGAACACCAGUGGCGAAGGCGGCUACCUGGUCUGCAACUGACGCUGAGACUCGAAAGCAUGGGUAGCGAACAGGAUUAGAUACCCUGGUAGG